UAUAAAACAGCUGAGCAUCUUUUGUUGCAUUUGUACUCCAGUGAAGUUGAGACUCCUGCAUAGACCACUGAGAGCCAUAGGCAAAGUCUGUCCUUAGGUGAACCUACUCCAGUUGAUGCUGCAAGCAGUUCUUUCCAUAUGAAAGUAGCUCUUUGGAACAGAGAAACAAUAUGCCUUCAAGAACUAGAUACGGCAACUCAUAAACGAAUAAUAUAACUUUGACUGAUGCUCAUUGUUACCCUAAGAGAAUGACUGGGUGGCUUUACAGCAUAAACUGUUUGAUUAGGCAGCAGAAGAAUGUGGCAGUGGGGAAUACAAAGCCUGGUUCCCCUUGUUGCAAUAAAUCGUUUAUGAUCACUGCUGUGGAGGAAGGAUUGUUCCCUCACAUUUACCACAGACACGGGAAAGAUGGCGGAGAAAGGCAAUUUAUACAUUGAUUUGCUCCCCAUUUCUGCUGAUGAUUCAAUGUUACUUUGGGCAGAUCCCAUGGAGACUGUUCUGAAGUUUGCUCCUGGUCUGCCAGUAGCUGACAAAGUAGAAAGGUGUGCUUUUCUCUCUUUCCUGUAUAGAUUUAGAGGCAUUGCCAAUUUAAUCCGCGACUGAGGCUCUGCAAUGGUGCAAGUCUAUCCUACUACUUCAAAUUCAAUGAUGCAACCUGAGUUUACGCUAAUUAACUUUCAGGGAUUGAACCAAUGUAAAGCUUUAGGACUCUGACACUUCUUUGAAAACAUUCCCACAGAUUGAUUUUCUUCAUUUACAUUUGUUUGCUAUCUCCGUCUCAUUCAAAGCAGUCAGGCCUGGUUUGCUUCUCUCUUCUCUGGAAAAGUUCUCUGAAGUAGGAACUAUUGUUAGAAUCAGAAUCCUGAUCUAAGAGUAUUGUAAGAAAUGCUCCAGCAAUUUCUGUCAAUAGAGGGCUUGAAGGGUAAGCCCUGAGUCUCUGAUAUCUGGGGAUAAGAGAACAAAGGGGUCUCAGAAUAACUGCUAACUAUUGUGACUAUUGCAUUGGACACCAGGCAAGUCUCUGAUAUCCAGCCAAGAUGGACAAAGGACAAGGACAAAGCCUGGGAGGAAGACUAUGAGCCUUCAGCAUGAGAAACCCCCAGAGGGACUACCGGGGACUGAUACGUAUGCGCCAGUGGGAGGGUUUGGAGUCCGGGAACUAAUUAUAAUAACCCUGCCUUUUCUAGAAGUAGUAAUGAAUAUGUAUUAGACUAGAAGCAUAAAAAGCAGCCACCUGAUGUAACGUGUGUGCGUGUUGGAGGAGCCCAGGCUCCCUGCACACCCAGCGCUCUUUACUUGCCUUUUAUUAAUCCCAUAAAUAAAUCUUAUAAAGCUAAGUUGACUUGGAAUUUGUAACAGCAUGAUGAAAAAUGUUGCACUCCAAGUUGGAAACUGGAGAGGAAAAUGUACAUGUAUACGUGAGAACUGUACUCAAACAUCUGAUUACACCUUUUCUUACACCUUAAUAGAGGUUUACACCUUUUAAGGGAAAACUUUAAACCUGAGAAGCAACAGACUGUUUUCUACGUUUCCUGAUAUGAUAUCAUGAUACAGUCCACUGCAGGCUGAAAAGUAGCCUGUGUCUCAGGUACCGUUUUAUGCCUUUGCUUUUGUUACUACAUGCUUGUAAGUCUUCAAAAGGGAAAUGAAAUUAUCCUACC